GUUGAAUUCACAGUUUCCCAAUUACCAUGACAAAGCAGUGAUAUCAAAGCCUCAGAUUUACUCUUUCAUUAAGAAGCAAGAAAGAGUGGGGUUCAGAGCAGAGCUACUUUAACUCUCCUGUCAUCUUUUCCUUAGACUUGGAGGUCAAAUGUAGAGAUUUUGGAUGUUUGAUUGGACCAACAUACCAUUCAUCUAUGUAACACAAUUUCCUAAAGGCCUACUGACAUUAACCAUCCUAGAUUCCAGAUGAAUGCAUUUCUCUUCUCUUCUCUACAGUUUUGCCUAAGAGACAUUGGAAGACAAAUGUUUCUGUCACAGCCAGUAGUGGGACUGUCUCAACUCGUUUUCCUGUGAUGCCUGAGAAUGUGCCAUGUACAGUGAAACAGGAGCCUGCAGUGGCUGAGACAUUUGGAGCUGAGGAAACUAAACAGUCUUGGCCAGUUCAAUGCUAUUGAAAUAGAAAAUAGAAAAUCUAGAAAGUAGACUUUCUCAGGUGCUCUCUAGAUUUUCUGAAGCUCCCUGGGUCAAAAAGUUCCUAGGCCUGGGUAUGUGUGGGGAGAGAAGGCACUUCCUUCUCUCCAAUUAUGGUCACACUGUCAUAGGAGUCCCCUCUCCCUGUGGCUUUUCUUCACACCACUGUAAUGGAAGAAUGGAUUAGGGAAUCUUACACUUCCCUUAAAAGAAAAAUUCUAGCAUUUUUAACACCUAAAAUAAAGUAGAAGCCAAACAAAUCUCUCCAACCAAAGUUAUGGUUGGAUAAGCUUUUCAAAUAAAUCCCAGAAUGCAACUCUAUUACAAACUCAAGGGGAGCACAUUGACUCUCAGUCUGUCCUUAAAAAACACAUUGUGCAAAUGAGUUUACCAUAAAGAUAUAUUGGAACCAGUCUGGAAGCCAACACACCAGUUAAAUUGUUGCUGGCAUGGAGUCUCUCCAUUAAGGUCACUAUCUCAAAAAAUAUAUUUCACAAAGAAAUCCUGCUACUUUGUAGAAAGUGAGUAGUUCUAAAAUAACAGUGGGCUCUUUCCUAUUAAAGAGCCUCCACUGUCCAGAAUGAUUUCUCAAGUAAAGAAAAGUGGGCGCAAGCUCAAAGUAGAGAUUUAGAACUUUGCACAGGAGUCAAAGGCUGAUCUAUGCUCUAGAAGCACGCAACUGUAUUGGCAUCUUGAAAGCAUAUUGAUUUAAUUAGUGCUUAGCUAUUUUCUUUGGAUCUCUCACUAUCAUAUUGGAUAUGUUUCACAAGCUGAUAACAAAUACCACACAUGUAGCUCUAGCCCCUACAAGCAGCAGACAAUGCACUUUUAAAUGAAGACUUUGUUUUUUUCAAACAGAUAAACACAUAAGAGCAAAUAUCAUCAGUUGUCCUCGGGGGAGGAAAUUUUUGGUUACUGUGACUUUAGUUCCAAACCAGUUGGGAGAUUUUGCUGCAGAAAGAUAGAAUAAUUUAAUUGCUUAAGGCUUUCAGGUUUCUGAUGGGGUUGCAAAGCUGUGCAGUUGUUUUUGUGAUUUUUUUUUUUUUUUUGCCACUGUGGCUUCUUCAUUCAAGACCAAUUGGCCACAUGUGUUGAUAGUUACCACUAAGGCUGAAUAAUUUCUGUCUUUCAUGAGGGUAACAAGAGCCUCUGUCAGAUAAAAUGGAAGAGUAAACGACACUGAAGUAUUACACUGAAAGAUUACUUGUUAACCUUGCUAUGGCUAAUAAAAUUCUAAUUUGCAAGCCUUGAUUCACUACAAUUGAUGUGCAUGUGAGUAACAUGGAAUUACUCUGGUUAAAGCUGUUAAAAUAUGAGACCUACAUGAAAAAUAUAUUAUGAUGGAAAGAAUUAUCAUUUUUCCCCCCUUGAACUGAGGUUAAUCUAUACUUUCUGUCCACAAGGUAUGCUUGGAUUUACAAUCCUAUUCUCUUAAAACCCAGUUAAUUGCAUUAAGUGCAGUUGGAAUGUGCUCAGCGAUGAUAUUGGCCUUCUGAUUAUUGAGCAUAUAUAAAAACAUGAGGGUUCAAGAAUUUAAAUGCAUUAUUUAUCUA